rnacentral:tRNA from 1 species
GCGGGUAUAGUUUAGUGGUAAAACCCUAGCCUUCCAAGCUAAUGAUGCGGGUUCGAUUCCCGCUACCCGCC